AAAAGAAUCAUAAGAGAGUGACAGGAUGACUAUUAUUUCUAGAAACCCAAACUCUAUUUCCAUAUGAGAACAAGCUCUCCUUGAGCAGUAAAUCUUCAGACGAGUAGAAAAUAUAGAGUUGACGUAAAUCUUACCGCAUUCAUCCAACCAUAUGAAGAACUCCACGCACUACAUCUCCUUCUCUUAUUCGACGGGAAAUUGAUGAUGUUUAACACCGGCAACCCAAUGGCCAAGUGUUAAAACAUAGAACACCCAUAAAAAAAUAAUUUUUUUUAGAAGGUAUCCUUUUACUUUGGUUUCUUGGUUAAAUUUCUCAAGAUCAAUUUUUCAAACCCUAAGGAAAAAGAAAGAAGAUGAAGAAGAAGAAUCCUGAGAAAAUCUAUAUCGUUGGUAUGCUAAUAUAUAACUACAGAAGAUUUUAUUUGUAGAUGGAAUAACGAGAGAAAUGAUUGAAAUCCAAGUAUAGGAAGUACCUCCAAGUGCAGAAGCCAGCUAUCUGAGCCAGAACCAAAACCCUUCUGGAGAUGGUACCCUGGAGGGCUUCCAUCUAAACAC
rnacentral:lncRNA from 1 species